rnacentral:rRNA from 1 species
ACUCCUACGGGAGGCAGCAGUGGGGAAUAUUGCACAAUGGGCGCAAGCCUGAUGCAGCCAUGCCGCGUGUAUGAAGAAGGCCUUCGGGUUGUAAAGUACUUUCAGCAGUGGGAGGAUGGGUGGUAUGUUAAUAGCAUACUCAUUUGACGUUAGCUGCAGAAGAAGCACCGGCUAACUCCGUGCCAGCAGCCGCGGUAAUACGGAGGGUGCGAGCGUUAAUCGGAAUUACUGGGCGUAAAGCGCAUGCAGGUGGUUUGUUAAGUCAGAUGUGAAAGCCCGGGGCUCAACCUCGGAAUUGCAUUUGAAACUGGCAAACUAGAGUACUGUAGAGGGGGGUGGAAUUUCAGGUGUAGCGGUGAAAUGCGUAGAGAUCUGAAGGAAUACCGGUGGCGAAGGCGGCCCCCUGGACAGAUACUGACACUCAGAUGCGAAAGCGUGGGGAGCAAACAGGAUUAGAUACCCUGGUAGCUA